rnacentral:lncRNA from 1 species
GGCCAGAUGGUGAAUCAUCAUGAGGCCAGCAUGUAUCUGAACAUCCUCGGUCCAAAACAGAGCAGAGGCCUGCAUGAGGUUGCCCUGGGGAACCUGGAAUCUGAGCUAAUGAGGCGACUUCCUGGCCCAACCCAGACAGCUGAGGCUGCAGCACCAUCGGUAGUAAGGGACAGGUAGCCUGGGACCUCUUCUGAGCCUAACAGUCUGGGUCCCCUUGUGGGUAAAAGCAUCCAACAAGUGUCUGUGUGUGCUGUGAACAAGUACACUGGACAAUAGGUGUAGACAGGGACCAUCCGGAACACUGAAAGACAUGGUCAUCCCGCCUGUACCAUC